CAGAGAAUAGUUUUAAAAAAAAUAUUAAUUUUGGAGAUUAAAGUUAAAAGUAAUUUUUUCUCUGA
rnacentral:tRNA from 1 species